UGGACCGCAUGACGUCGACCCGGGGGAUUCAACCAGGCCGUUGCGAUCGGGACGCGUGGGGGUUAUGCGGAGCUGUAAAGCCCGUGCCUCUGCGUGGGUCUCCGGGCGGACUGGUGCACUUUCCUCGGGUUGAUUGCCACGACCGGCUCUCCGUGCGGCCACAAGCCUGUCGCUGGGAAGGUGACCGUGGGCCCCGCGCCCGCGGUGUUACAGCCCAGCCUGUUCGUUGAGCUCGUCGGAGGGCCGAGGAAGUUGCCGUUUCUCAGCCACCCUCUGGCCAUCCUUGCUCGUCACGACUGGGGUGAACUGCUCGUCAGUGCUCUCCCGACCGCGAGCGUAGGAAGGGCUGGUACGGUGCGAGAAUUGCUUCGGGCCAGUGGCGAAUCGGUCGGUCCUCCACCCGACCCGUCUUGAAACACGGAC
rnacentral:rRNA from 1 species